UACGUAGGGUGCAAGCGUUGUCCGGAAUUACUGGGCGUAAAGGGCGCGUAGGCGGUUCGAUAAGUCCUGUGUGAAAUCCCCCGGCUCAACUGGGGAACUGCACAGGAAACUAGCGGGCUUGAGUUCGGGAGAGGGAAGCGGAAUUCCGGGUGUAGCGGUGAAAUGCGUAGAUAUCCGGAGGAACACCGGUGGCGAAGGCGGCUUCCUGGACCGACACUGACGCUGAGGCGCGAAAGCUAGGGGAGCAAACGGG
rnacentral:rRNA from 1 species